UACGUAGGGCGCAAGCGUUAUCCGGAAUUAUUGGGCGUAAAGCGCGCGUAGGCGGCUACCUAAGUCGGAUGUGAAAGCCCCUGGCUUAACUGGGGAAGUGCACCCGAAACUGGGUAGCUAGAGUGCAAAAGAGGGUCGCGGAAUUCCCGGUGUAGAGGUGAAAUUCGUAGAUAUCGGGAGGAACACCGGUGGCGAAGGCGGCGACCUGGGUUGACACUGACGCUGAGGCGCGAAAGCGUGGGGAGCAAACAGG
rnacentral:rRNA from 1 species